UACGGGGGGAGCAAGCGUUGUUCGGAUUUACUGGGCGUAAAGGGCGCGUAGGCGGUCGUGACAAGUCACUUGUGAAAUCUCCGGGCUUAACUCGGAAAGGUCAAGUGAUACUGUCGGACUAGAGUACAGAAGGGGCAACUGGAAUACUUGGUGUAGCAGUGAAAUGCGUAGAUAUCAAGUGGAACACCAGUGGCGAAGGCGAGUCCCUGGACAACUCCUGACACUGAGGCACGAAAGCUAGGGGAGCAAACAGG
rnacentral:rRNA from 1 species